rnacentral:rRNA from 1 species
GACGAACGCUGGCGGCGUGCUUAACACAUGCAAGUCUAGCGUUGAUGUUCCUUCGGGGAUGGAUUAGUGGCGGACGGGUGAGUAACACGUGGGUAACCGGCCUCAUAGAGGGGAAUAGCCUUCCGAAAGGAAGAGUAAUACUGCAUAAGAUUGUAGUGCCGCAUGGUACAGCAAUUAAAGGAGUAAUCCGCUAUGAGAUGGACCCGCGUCGCAUUAGCUAGUUGGUGAGGUAACGGCUCACCAAGGCGACGAUGCUUAGCCGACCUGAGGUGGUGAUCGGCCACUUUGGGACUGAAACACGGCCCAGACUCCUACGGUCGGGAGCAGUGGCGAAUAUUGCACAAUGGUGGAAACCCUGAUGCUGCAACGCCGCGUGACUGAUGACGGUCUUCGGAUUGUAAUGCUCUGUCUUCAGGGACGAUAAUGACGGUACCUGAGGAGGAAGCCACGGCUAACUACGUGCCAGCCGCCGCCGUACUAC